rnacentral:pre_miRNA from 2 species
CAUGUAGUUCAGUACGUCUGAGCUGGGGACUGAGAUUCUGCAUUUGUCACAAGUUCCCAGGUGAUGCUGAUGUUGCAGGU